UUUUUUUUUUUUUUUUUUUUCAAGACAGGGUUUCUCUGUAUAGCCCUGGCUGUCCUGGAACUCACCACCCGGCUAACAAAAACAUCUUAACCUAACUAUACUAACUACAUCUCUAAAUUCUUUCUGAGGCCGAAUCCUUUUUUUUUUUUUUUUUUUUUUUAAUUUAUUUAUUAUUAUAUGUAAGUACACUGUAGCUGUCUUCAGACACACCAGAAGAGGGAGUCAGAUCUUGUUAAAGGUGGUUGUGAGCCACCAUGUGGUUGCUGGGAUUUGAACUCUGGACCUUCGGAAGAGCAGUCGGGUGCUCUUACCCGCUGAGCCAUCUCACCAGCCCAGAGGCCGAAUCCUUAAUCUGCUCCAACAGCAAUGCUCAAAAGAGAUCAAUCAUUAUUAUUGUAAGAACCAAUGAUACUUGCUGAGGUGAUCUUUAUGUGCGCUUGCGCUGUGCAAAGAUUGUCUCUGUAUUAUUCAAAUGCUGGUUUCUGAGUAGGCAGGCCAGAUUUUGGUAUUGUUAAUCAUCACCUGUUGUAGUGUUUUGUAAACACUUCCUUCAACACUGCCUGAUUUAAUAAAGAACUGAGCGUGGUGGCUCUUGUCUUUAAUCCCAGCACUCGGGAGGCAGAGGCAGGCGGAUUUCUGAGUUUGAGGCCAGCCUGGUCUACACAGUGAGUUCCAGGACAGCCAGGGUUACACAGAGAAACCCUGUCUUGGGAAAAAAAAGAAAAGAAAAAAAGAACUGAAUGGCCUAUAGCUGAGACAGGAGAAGAAAGGCAAGGUUUCUGGGGAGAGUUAAGAACUCGGGGAAAGAAUCUGAGGCAGGAGAUUUGCCAGUGAGACACAGAAGAAGCCAGAGGAGAAAUAACAAGCCACGUUACAGAACAUAGAUUUUUUUUUUUUAAAGAUUCAUUUAUUUUAUGUAUGUGAGUACACUGUAGCUGUCUUCAGACACACCAGAAGAGGGCAUCAGAUCCCAUUACAGAUGGUUGUGAGCCACCAUGUGGUUGCUGGGAUUUGAACUCAGAACCUCUGGAAGAACAGUCAGUGCUCCUAACCACUGAGCCAUCUCUCCAGCCCAGAACAUAGAUUAAUAUAAAAGUGUUAGUUUAUGUUAUAAGAGCUAGUUGGGAACCAGUAAGCUAAGGCCUGUAAAGCUUUUAUAAUUAAUAAAUGGUCUCUUUGUCAUUAUUUGGGAGCUGGCUGGCCUAGAAAGUCCUAACAGUUACAGACACUGCCCAGUGAGGGACUGGAAACCCCCUUAGAGUUUCCAUACAACCCGUAGAUUAUGGGCAAAGUGGUGACCUCAAGGGCAACAAGCAGAGAGAAACUCCAUAAGAGAGUCAAGUCCUCAGAGCAUGGAGUCCUUGGGACCCUGCCUCUCCCAGGCACACCUGCGGUGAUUACGCUAACCACUGGGCCAUUUUCCAUGAGUUCCAAAGUUGCUUCUUGUUCCCACACAGCCCCUGACAUCUGGGCUCCUGAAAGUCAUCUUGCCUUUGUUUUCUCUGUUAACCCCUAACCCUGUCUGUCCAGCCUCAGCCUCACCAGGCUGCUUCUUUGGAAAGAAUGAAUGAAAGAGCUUCCUGGUGCAAGGGUACCUGGGUGAUGGGGAGCCAAGGGGAACCUCAGUCAUACCAUGCAACACUCCUCCUCACACAGGAUUCUUGGGGAGAAACCCACAACGGCAGCUACCUCUGACCAGAACAGAGACAGCCCUGGGCUGGGCAGAGGGGCAGGCUUGGGUAGGGUCUUCAGAGCAUGCACAGUGCACUAGUGGUGAUGUACAGAUUAGCCAGGAUUAUUGCUUGGCCAUUAACCCUGAGUCAUGGGGUAAAGAUUUCCAAGUCCUUGGUUCGGGGACAGGUCAGAGGCAGGGUGAUUUUCCACCGACCUGUUACCCUACUAUGAGAGACCCAAAGUGGCCUUGAAGAAAUCUGGAAUACCUGGUGACUAAUAUUGCCAGGGUAGCUCCAUCAUGCUUGCUCUUUCCUUGAGCUUGCUUCCCUUGCUUGGGACUGAUUAAGUCUGGGUGUGAUGUUGGGUGAUAUGGUAUCACACAACUUUAAUCCCAGAGGCAGGUGGAGGUCUGCGCCAGCCUGGUCUACAGAGGAAGUCCCUGGACAGCCAGGGCCGCACAGAGAAACCCUGUCUCGUGUCUCAAAAAACAAACAAAUUGUGGAUGUGAGUGCUGGAGUUCACAGCCUGUGUGAGUGCCCACAGCAGAGCAAGUGUGUGGGUCACAGAGCCUAAACUACAUUCUUCAAUGUCCUCUCAACUGGCUGAUGUCUCCUUAUCAGGAAACAGAGAUACUAAGUGUACUACAUCCUGCUUGGAAGUGCUUCAAUGGGAUAGUUUCAGCUUUAACAAAAAUACAGAACUUUGGGCUGGAAAGACAUCUCGGCAGUUAAGAGCACUGGUUGUUCUAAAGAGAACAUCAGUCUGGCUUACAGAGCUAACUUCAGUUGGAGAGAAUCUGGCACCCUCUUCUGGUUUUGGUGGGCACUGCACUCGUGUACAUAUGUAUUAACUAAAAAUAAAACAGACCUUUAACUAAAACC
rnacentral:lncRNA from 1 species